rnacentral:siRNA from 1 species
UGAUGUGUCAAGUUGUUGGA